rnacentral:RNase_P_RNA from 1 species
UAGGUGUUAGAGUCAGUCGCCGCUAGAGGAAUCUAGGGGAGGAACGUCCGGGCUCCACAGGGCAAUGAAGGUAGCUAAUGGCUGCUGAGGGAAACCUUAAGGAAAGUGCCACAGAAAAUAGACCGCCUAUAAACUUGCCCGUCUCGACCUUUAGGUGUGUCGCUUGAGCCUAUAAGCAAUUAUAGGCCUAGAUAAAUGAUUGACCAACGACAAAACCCGGCGUAUCCUAACACCUAUUUA